UGAGGAAUAUUGGUCAAUGGGCGAGAGCCUGAACCAGCCAAGUCGCGUGAAGGAAGACAGUCCUAAGGAUUGUAAACUUCUUUUAUACGGGAAUAACGGGCGAUACGAGUAUUGCAUUGAAUGUACCGUAAGAAUAAGCAUCGGCUAACUCCGUGCCAGCAGCCGCGGUAAUACGGAGGAUGCGAGCGUUAUCCGGAUUUAUUGGGUUUAAAUGGUGCGUAGGUUGUUCGGUAAGUCAGCGGUGAAACCUGAGCGCUCAACGUUCAGCCUGCCGUUGAAACUGCCGGGCUUGAGUUCAGUGGCGGCAGGCGGAAUUCGUGGUGUAGCGGUGAAAUGCAUAGAUAUCACGAGGAACUCCGAUUGCGAAGGCAGCUUGCCAUACUGCGACUGACACUGAAGCACGAAGGCGUGGGUAUCAAACAGG
rnacentral:rRNA from 1 species